AGGGAAUCUUCGGCAAUGGGCGAAAGCCUGACCGAGCAACGCCGCGUGAAUGAUGAAGGCCUUCGGGUUGUAAAAUUCUGUUAUAAGGGAAGAAUGGCUCUAGUAGGGAAUGGCUAGAGUGUGACGGUACCUUAUGAGAAAGCCACGGCUAACUACGUGCCAGCAGCCGCGGUAAUACGUAGGUGGCGAGCGUUAUCCGGAAUUAUUGGGCGUAAAGAGCGCGCAGGUGGUUGAUUAAGUCUGAUGUGAAAGCCCACGGCUUAACCGUGGAGGGUCAUUGGAAACUGGUCAACUUGAGUGCAGAAGAGGGAAGUGGAAUUCCAUGUGUAGCGGUGAAAUGCGUAGAGAUAUGGAGGAACACCAGUGGCGAAGGCGGCUUCCUGGUCUGUAACUGACACUGAGGCGCGAAAGCGUGGGGAGCAAAC
rnacentral:rRNA from 1 species